CUGCUGAUUACUGAUUUUGAAUCAGGCGCAGAGAUGGACUGAAAAUAGGCUGUGUGAAAUGUAUCAUUACUUUUUUGGGUGUAAUUGUUGUUUGUGUAAUUAACGGCAGUGGGACUGGCUGCCGGUGAUUAAGAGGCUAUUAUGCGUCGAGGCUGUCUGGUAGUCUUGAGUGUGUAAACAUUAUAAUGAGAGCUUGCUUCCUUGGUACGGCAUCUGCACUGCAGCCUCCAAAAUGACUGCUCCCAAAAUUCAGCGGCUGCGUGACCAAAGCAGCACAUUCACACCCAAAGCUUCAAAGAUUUAUCAGACUGGGCUGUCAUGGGCUUUGGGCAGUGGUCAUAUUGCCCAUGCUUUUUUAUAUUCCCUGUUUUUGUUCCUAAUUGUCGCUGUUUGUUCAAGCUUGCUGCCUUUUGGAACUCUCUGUGUUUUUUGAAUUGCAGUUCCCUCACAGCCCAGCUGGACUGACACUGCAGGAUGAGGAAGACCUCAUAUUCCACUUCUGCCAUCAGCGUAUGACCCUGUCAAGGAAAGAAAGGGACACAUUUGACAUUUGCUUGUUGAAGGAAAUGGGAAUCAUUUAAAGAG